rnacentral:rRNA from 1 species
AGUGAACGCUGGCGGUAGGCCUAACACAUGCAAGUCGAACGGCAGCACAGUAAGAGCUUGCUCUUACGGGUGGCGAGUGGCGGACGGGUGAGGAAUACAUCGGAAUCUACUUUUUCGCGGGGGAUAACGUAGGGAAACUUACGCUAAUACCGCAUACGACCUACGGGUGAAAGCAGGGGAUCUUCGGACCUUGCGCGAUUGAAUGAGCCGAUGUCGGAUUAGCUAGUUGGCGGGGUAAAGGCCCACCAAGGCGACGAUCCGUAGCUGGUCUGAGAGGAUGAUCAGCCACACUGGAAAUGAGACACGGUCCAGACUCCUACGGGAGGCAGCAGUGGGGAAUAUUGGACAAUGGGCGCAAGCCUGAUCCAGCCAUACCGCGUGGGUGAAGAAGGCCUUCGGGUUGUAAAGCCCUUUUGUUGGGAAAGAAAAGCAGCAGGUUAAUACCCCGCUGUUCUGACGGUACCCAAAGAAUAAGCACCGGCUAACUUCGUG